rnacentral:lncRNA from 1 species
CUAAAGCAGUGAAUGUGAUUAAGGAUAAAAAAAGAAAACUCAUGACUGAGAUGACAGGGUUUGAACGAUUGAUUCAACACUAUUGCGACCUAAAAUAAUAAAGCGAAAACAUUAAAUGUUUGUAAAUAUAUAUGAUCUUUCCGUUUUAAAGUGAAAAAUAAAAUUGCAUCCGACAAUUUCUUCCUGGUUUCAAUGAACUACAUUAUAACUAACACCGAUAUUAUUACGCAUAGGAGAUGAAAUUUAAUUUAAGAGGGUAAGCCAAUCUAAAUGAUGUAUGCACUAAGACAGUAUUUUUGAAUACUGUAUUUGUGCAUACAUUUAGCUUCUUAAAAAUUUUCGUGAAUGUGAGAAGACUGACUUGAUCAAAGACUUCAUUUGGAAAUAAUGCUUUUUCCCCUAUGCAUAUGCUAAUUCUGUGUUAUUGAUAACCAUAUGAUUUUUUUUUUUCUUUUAUUUAUAAGGACUAAUAGAUACAUUUUUGAUAAAUGUUGAAGGUAAGAACCUCAGUUUUGUACAUAUUUUUCAAUUUUUCUUCUGUAAGCAGAAAAUAUUAACAUCUUUUAUUAUUGAUAUUAAUGUGACUGCGACAUCCUUCACACCAUUUGGCAAUGCUUGUUUUCUUAUGAAUUAACACAAUUUUAUUAGGACGUUUACCGAAGAAAAAAAUAUACUUAAAUAACAAACUUCGAGAAAAAUUCAAAACAGAAUUUCCGUAUUCAAAAGGCAAAAUCAAAAGUUCAAACAUAUCAAACGAAUGGAUAACAACAGAGGGACGAAAGAUACCAGAGGGACAGUCAACUGUCAUAUACCUGACUUGGUACAUGCAUUUUCUUAUGUAGAAAGGGGUAGAUCAAACCUGGUUUUAUAGCUAGCUAAACACCCCACUUGUAUGACAAUCGCAAUUAGCAUUUACAAACGCAUUUGUCAUCUGUCAAACAUAUGUGACCAGCCACGACAUAUCAAGGCUUAUGGAGGUAGAACGUCUUUGUGAGAAAAACGCCAUUAACUAUAUGUGACUAGCCACUUCCAAGCUUAGGAGGGUACACUGUCUAAAAUUAGCUUUUUGUAUAUUUAUCUAGAAUAUCCCGAAACAAACCUCUCUGUCUUGUUAUUAUGACAUAUUUGUUGUAAUAGCAAUGAAACGAGUCAUUUCGAAUAUCCGUAUGAAAAUGAGACUGUUCUAUGACGGCUUUUAUUUAUUGAAGGCACUAAUUUAUAAAAUACAAAAUUAUUGUAUUUAUUGGCUCUUAGUAAUGUUCAAAAGCGUAUUUGAAUAAAAUUUCAAAGACUUAAAUUUACUUUAAUACAAACAAUUCUUAGCUCUUUUUAGAACAUGUAAUUUAAACUUGUUGAAAUGAAGUUAAAUUAGAUUAAAGUAAGCUUUAAGAAUUUUUUUUUUAAUUCGUCUUUUAAUUAGAUUUAUCAUGCAUGUCUCUAAACAUAGUAUGCGACGCGUAUCAGUUUAUAAGUAGGUGUUCUCAUAUAUGCAUUUGAUACGGUGCAUUUAUUAUGGAUAUAUUUCAGACUCCAUUUAUGAAAGUUAAUUUAUAAAGCAGAGCAUUUUUUUAGAACAUGUUAUUUAAACUUGUUGAAAUGAAGUUAGUUUAAAACUUGUCAAAGUAAGCUUAUAGAAUUCCUUUUUUUUUAUUUUAGAUUUAUUAUGCAUGUCUCUAUACUUAGUAAGUAUGCGACGCGUAACAGUUUAUAAGUAGGUGUUCUCUUAUAUGCAUUUUAUACAGUGCAUUUGUUAAGGAUAUAGUUUAGAUUUCAUUUAUGAAAGGACAUUUAUAGAGCAGAAAUUUGAUUUUUUUUUGUAUCAAUUCAAAAUGUAGAUUCAAAUAUUCAAACGAUAAAGUAAAACUUCUUCAAAACUUAUAUAUGAUGUAUAGUUCGGCGUCAGCAAAAAAGAAGCCAAGGCAAGUGCUUAUCUCUUCUUCACAAAUACGUAUUUCAUUGAAUCUCGAUAUUUAUCAUGUUUAUAAUUUUUCUUACAAUGACGUUCUACCUUCAUAAGCCUGCACAUGUCAUGGCGGGUCAUACAUAUGAAAAUGAAACAACAGCUAAUAUACAACGAUAGUUUUGAUGUUUUUAUCUAAUUUUGAGACGAUACAAUUCAAUGUCUAUCAAUAUGAAAAAGAAAACUGUAUUAAAGCAUCACAUGAACUCUUAAGGAACGACACAGGAUCAAAACAUAACUGAAGCGUCCUUUGCUAUGCACGGAUGCAUGACCCUAUUCAGGAACAUUGACACAAUCGGGAAGAAGACAAAACUGGCCAAUUUAUAGAUCUAAAACAAGAAAUUUGUAUCUAGUUCCGAUUACGUAGAUAAAUCAAAAGUUUUGAUAUUAUCGCAAACUUUCAAUUAAUGUGAUUGAAUAUUUUAAAGAAGAUAUUUCGAAUACAUUUGUUGUUUCCUAUAGUUAUUGUGACACUCGUUUGGCAUACAUUAGAUUUAAGAACGAGCGGUAUCAGAUUUCAGUUGUAAGCAUAAUAACCGAUUACAAAACCAGAUUUCUUUUUCAGGAUCCUAAUUCUAGAGGAAAUGACUCUCUGAAAAAACAUUUAUAAAUUAGUAAGUUUGAUACCCUUUUGAAUUUAUAUAUUAUUUAAUCAGUUUUGAACCAAUGUAAUACAUAUAAUUUUAUAAUACCAAAUUUAAAACUAAAAAUCGUGAGUAUGUCUUUCGCUAGUACAGUAAAUAUUUUUUUUUAAUAUUUGAAAAAGGUUUCAACUACUUAAAGACGAAUUCAUUUUAAGACAAAAUAUAUCCAAGGACCAUCAAUGAACAUAUGAAUUCAUUUCACGUACUAUUGUCAUCUAAAAGACAUCUUUUACUUUGCCAAAUAAGCAGAGGUUUUACUAGUCAUACAACUAGGUUCGAUCCAUCUUUUUUUCUGAAAAUUUUCUGUACUAGUUUAGGAAUAUGGUACUAGUAGUUGCUAUCACAAAGUCCGUUCUAUGUAAAUUGGCGUUUGUUUUCGUAGCAGUUCAGUGUUUCUAUUGUUUCGUUUUUUCCCUCUCAUAGUUGAUGGGUUUCCCUCAGGUUUGGUUUGUGACCCGGAUGUGUUUCAGUUAAAUCGACUCAUGAUUAUUGAACAAUGGUAUACUACUAUUGCCUUUAUUAAAACAAAAAUGCCAAAGCAAAUAUAAAUAGAUCAUGUCACGACAACUUUACUGUUUAUCUCAUUGUACUAGGAGACGGUAAAAGAGAAACGGUUCUUGUAAUCGCUAUUUAUAUGAAAUGUUUACUGCAAGUUAUCAUGACGCAUCCUCCAUUCUAUUUUAAUUUUACUUUAGAUUUGUGAAAAUGUACUGUAAAGAGAUUAACCAGGACUGUACUAUAUAAAUUUACUACUUAUUAUAACAAUUUUCUCCUUAUUCAAUUACGUAAUGUGACAUUUUACCAAAACUAAAGCUAAUACUAAAACGUUUCACAUGUUUCAUGAAGCAUUCACAGAUGUAAGUUUUUAAUCAUAUAUUGAAGUUUAUUAGAGAUAAAACCAACAUAAUAGAUUGUCUUUUGAAAAUAAUAUAAUAAGUGGGGUAACCCCGGGGUUUGAGAUUGACCAAACGAUACCGUAUAACUUUCAUAAUAAUGUUCAAGAUGUAGUUCAAAGUACAGUUCUGAUGCAGAAAUAUAAAAACAUUUAAUGUUAUAACUUCCAUUAGGUCAAACUAUAUCCUAGUGGACUUACUAACUGGAGAGCCACACUAACCCAGUAGCCAGUAUAGUGAAACUACGGAUAUUGUUUGAUUAAAAUGUGUUGCAUAUAAUGAAUAUCCCAGGUGCAUAGAUCUGAUUCCGGGAUUAGUUUAUUUUUGAAUUUUUGUUUUGCAUUUUAUUACCUUUUCAACCUUUUAAUUAGAUUUUUGGAUUUCGAUAUAUAUUGUGGAAGAAUCAUUAGUCAUCGAACAACACUGCUUAGGGACGACAUCAAAACAUCAAUGAAGGAUGAAAAACUUUAUUCAAAUAGUUUGGGGGUGGGGAUGUCAGUUUUGUUUAAUUGACAUCGAUUUCUUAUAUAACUUAUUGGUCAAUCAAUUUUUCCCAUAUUUUAAAAGCUAAGAAGGUUAGAGGGUCAGUGAAAAAAACUAUAUGAAUUAUAUUUUUUUAUCCUACAUUGAACUUUUGAUGUCGUCCUUUACAAACUUUGCAUUUUUAACCCCAGGAACAUGUUAUCUUGGCUCUACUUGGCAAACACUUAAGAAAUUCGAGGUGCUCCGUCCUCUUCAACUUCGUAUUUUAAAACAUUUAGUAUUAAAAAAAGACUUUUCUACACUUUACAAAAACAUAAACUUCUGUUACGUUUGGAGGACGUGUUUUUCAACAGACUGUCGGCAUUCCAAUGGAUACCAAUUGUGUCCCUCUUCCUGCCGACCUGUUCCUUUAUAUUAUGAAGCUGACUUCAUACAGGAACUUCUUAGGAAGAAAGAUAAGAAUUUAUAAAUAUCCUUUAACUUUACUUUCCGCUAUAUAGAUGAUGUUCUCUCAAUGAAUAAUUCACAUCUAUACCAUUGAACUAGAGAUAAGGAUACAACAGAUACAAUUAAGUCUGCCUCAUAUAAAAAAGAAGAUGUGGUAUGAUUGCCAAUGAGACAACUGUCCACAAGAGACCAAAAUGACACAGAUAUUAACAACUAUAGGUCACCGUACGGCCUUCAACAAUGAGCAAAGCCCAUACCGCAUAGUCAGCUAUAAAAGGCCCGAUAAAAACAAUGUAAAACAAUUCAAACGAGAAAACUAACGGCCUUAUUUAUAUAAAAAAAAAUGAACGAAAAACAAAUAUGUAACACAUAAACAAACGAUAACCACUGAAUUACAGGCUCCUGACUUGGGACAGGCACAUACUUAAAUAAUGUGGCGGGGUUAAACAUGUUAGCGGGAUCCCAACCCUCACCCUAACCUGGGACAUGGUUAUAACAGUACAACAUAAGAACGAACUAUAAAAAUCAGUUCAAAAAGGCUUAACUCAUCAGAUGGACAAAAAUACAAGUGGACGGGUACUUGUACAUCCCGAAAACAAAAAGACACUAGGAGCAGAUUUGAGAGUACUCACAGUUGUCUGACAGCUAGUUCAAAGCCACUAACAACUAAUAAAAAAAUCAUGCAUCUAAGAAUAAACUAUCAAUCCGUUCACAUCCAACCUCCAAUGGAUUUAGUGUAAAGACGUCAUAAACAGCUAGAGAAAAACAUGACCUUGUGCAAUGCCAAGUUACAGGUAUCGACAGAUUGUAGAUCCAUGCAUGUGUAUAUGUAUAUAACAUACUAGUAAUAUUUAGUUUGCUUUUAAUUUACUGAUAACAAAAUCAUAUCUUGACUUACAUCUAGAAAUUGACAAUGAGAGUCGGUUGUAAACAAAACUUUACUACAAAAGAGAUGAUUUCAGCUUCCUAAUCGUGAACUUUCCAUUUCUAUGUAGCAACAUUCCAGCAGCGCCGGCAUACGGAGUAUAUAUAUCUCACAAUUGAUACGUUAUACCCGGGCUUGUAUGUCCUAUUAUGAUUUCCUUCAUAGAGGAUUGCUGCUUAUUAGGGAGCUAAUAAACCAAGAUUUCUAAAUGGAAAAGUUGAAAUCAUCCCUUCGUAAACUUUACGGACGCCAUCACAAGUUGGUUGACCGUUAAAUCGUUUCACAGAUGAUUUCGGACAUGUUCCUUAUGUCGUAACUACAAUGUCAUUCCCUUUUCAUGAAUGUGAAUACCAAAUUAGACUAUUUACCGGAUUUGUAAUAAUAUGAGCAAAAAUACCGGUGCCACAUGUGGAGCAGGAUCUGCUAACCCUUCCGGAGCACCUGAGAUCACCCCCAGUAUUUGGUGGGGUUCGUGUUACUUAGUCUUUGGUUUUCUAUGUUAUGUGUUAUGUUUUGUGUUCUAUUAUUUGUCUGUUUGUCAUUUUUUUUUAGCCCUGGUGUUGUCAGUUUAUUUCGAUCUAUGAGGUUGACUUUUCUUCUGGUAUCUUUCGCCCUCCUUUAUUAGCCGUUUUAACCAUUUUGAUUCGAACGUCACUGAUGAGUGUUCUGUAGAUGAAACGCGCGUUUGACGUAUACAACUUUAAGCCUUAUAUCUAUAAUGAGUUUAUUUAUGAAAUGCUUCUAUUGCAAUAUGUCAUCGACAAUAUACAUCAUAUACUCCCCAUUAUGUCUCUAUUAUAUUAAUGAACUUCUGUCAUUUAUACAAAAGCCGUAAGGUAUUCAUCACAAUCUCAUGAAGUUUGCGUCACUGAUGAGUCUUUUGUAGACGAAAAGUGCGUCUGGCGUAAAUACAAAAUGUAAUCCUGGUAUCUAUGUUGAGUUUAUAUCUAAUAGCAUUCCUCAUGUACGACUGAAUUUUACAUUCAAUACUCAAAACAGUAAGAUAUCUAACCCCACCGAUCUGAGGAACAAAAUUUAAACUUUGAUACAAAACGAAUCAUUUAUGCUUACAAAUUAAAAUGCAUUAACAAACGAAUGCUAAAAGACGUAUCACAAGAGCUAUACUGGGAAAAAAUAUCUCAAGAUUGGAUUUUUAUGAAAACUUACAUUUUAAGCAAGGUAUUUAUCAUAUAUGGUUAGUUAUAUUUACCAUUAAUGGUUCUAUAUAUGCUUUCAAUUUAAUGACGUGCUUUAUUGUAAAAACUCCUCCUCUAAUAAAGCUGCGUUUAAUAUCAGAACUUCCUUCAGUGAUAGCAUGCUUCCUUGAUGGUUAUCUCUCAUAAAGCUGCAAUUUAAUUGCAGAACUUCCGCCAAUUAUUGCAUACUCCCUUGAUGGCUAUCUCUAAUAAAGGUGAGUUUGAUUGCAGAACUUUCUCAAAGUUUUGCAUGCUCCCUUGAUAGCUAUCUUUAAUAAAGCUCCUUUUAAUUGCAGGACUUCCCCCAAUGAUUUCAUGCUCCCUUGAUGGCUAUACAUUUGUUCAAUCCUGUCCAGUUGGUUGCUGUGGAAGCAGUUGUUGUCCAGAAAACGAAUUGUAAGUAAAGUAACGAAUAAUAGAUGAGAAAAUAGAAAACAUUUAGUUAUUUUUGUCAUUCUUCAACUAAUAACUUCAUGUACAUAUUUAUCGUUUUUCUUAUCUCCUGCACACAAUAUACGAAAGCAUAUAUAAAAAUAGUAGCACUCGGUGCAUACGUCACGGUUUGAAACGCUGACAGUAACUAGGUUAAUUCAUCCGUUACCCAAAGAGUGUUUUCCAAAACUAAUCGAACUUUAACACCAAUUUAACGCAAAUUAAAAAUGUGCAUCUAAUAUUUUUGAAAAUUGUAUGUUAUAUUUUCAUGCUUGAAAUGUGUCGAACAAUUUCUUUUCAUGUUCUAAAAAAGAAGCAACAGAUAUAAAAGCGACAUUCAUUCUAAUGAGUAGAAAUAAACUGACAACGUCAUGGCUUAAAAAGAAAAAAGCCAAACAGCCAAACAAUAGUUCACUAAACACAACAUAGAAAAUUAUAGACUGAUCACAUGAAACCCAUAAAAUCUGAGAGUGAUCUUAGGGUCAACAGAUACGGUCCCACAUAUGCCACCCGUCAUGUUGCUCAUGUUAGUACACAUCUGGUAAUAAGUUUAACUUGAUAGGUCACAUUCGGGGGAAAGGGGUUGGGAUUUUGGUUACGACAUUUGGAGAAUAUCCACUAUAAUUUCUAAAAUAUAUAUUCCUUCCGGUCAACCUACUCGUGAUGGCAUACGUAAAUUUACAAAGAAAUAAUUGCAACUUCACCUCUUUAAACUCUUUGUUUAGAACUUCCUUAUAAGCAAGAAAAUCAUGAUAGGAAAUACAAGCUCUGGAAUAUCGUAACAGCUGUGAGAUAUAUAUACUCCGUUAUCUAAUUUGAGUCAUCUGAAAUCUUAAAGUGUUUUUAAACAUUAUUCAAAUUUCUUUAUAAUUUUAUACAGAUCUAAAAUAUGCAUCUCAAACUGAUGACCGACUUACUUUUCCCCUUCGGUCAUUUUUCUUAUUUAAUACUCUAGCGGUUACAUAGUUUAUAUGUGUAAUCUCUUAUAUAAAAUUUUCCCUACUCUGCAUUUGGGACAUUAAUAUCCCAAUUAUGAUUUCAUUCAGCUAGCUACGAAAAUCGAAGCCUCUAUAAAAUGUAAAUAUUGUCAUGAUUAGUUAUAUCUGGCUUCAUCGCUUUAGAGAUAAAAUCAUUAUUUAGUUUUAGAAUGCAUUCAUGACAUUAUUCACGCCUUGUAUUGGAUCCUGAAUCCCAAAUAUUACUUUAUCCCAAUACCUAUCAAAACAAGAGGGAGAUAAACAGUAAAAUCACAAAAAUACUGAACUCCGAAGAAAAUUCAAAACGGAAAGUCCCUUAUCAAAUGACAAAAUCAAAAGCUCUAACACAUUAAACAAAUGGACAACAACUGUCAUAUUCCUGAGUUGGUACAGGCAUGUUCUUAGAUAGAAAAGCCAACACAACAUACAAAUCUUGUUUUUAUUUGGCGUCAGUUCUAUCAAACUAUAUGUCAUUUAGUCUGAUAAUUUUCUUUACAUUCAUAGUAAACAUAUAUAAAUGCAUUUAAUUGGUUGCGCCUUUGACAAAAGGCAGCGAUUAGAACUUUUAGAAUUUCCCAUCUCUACCAGAGAUCAGAGAACGAGAGUGUAAACCUAGUUAAUCUUUUUAUAUGUAUUCAUUUCAGGUUUGGAGGUGAGUUAACAGGAAUUAUAACAGGAUCGCUGGCGUUCUUGUUGUUUAUCACAAUUACUCUGAUACUUGUUUGGUAUAAAUCAGAUGAUAGGAACAGAAGUAGAUGGAAAUAUAUUUCAAUAGUAUGACAUGAAAUAAGACAACCAACGACGAAACAGUUGAACAUUUUCUUCCGACUUAUUGGUGUUCACAUCGAGGCAAUGUGACAGCUGAUGAUACUUGACCAUUCUCCAAAUAGAUAUAGGAUCCAAAUGAUUAAAGACUUGCUUGGAAAUAUCAGACAAACAUUCUGUUUAAGGAGAUACAUAUCAAUGCUGAAAAGUUAUAAAAAUUGAAAAGCAAAAAUUAUAACAAUGUUCUCCAAAACAUGACAUUCUCUACUUGUAUUUUUGUCCAUCUGACGAGUUAAGCCUUUUUCAACUGAUGUUUUAUAGUUCGUUCUUAUGUUGUACUGUUAUACCACUGUCCCAGGUUAGGGGAGGGUUGGGAUCCCGCUAACAUGUUUAACCCCGCCACAUUAUUUAUGUAUGUGCCUGUCCCAAGUCAGGAGCCUGUAAUGCAGUGGUUGUCGUUUGUUUAUGUGUUACAUAUUUGUUUUUCGUUCAUUUUUUUUAUAUAAAUAAGGCCGUUAGUUUUCUCGUUUGAAUUGUUUUACAUUGUCUUAUCGGGGCCUAUGAGCUGACUAUGCGGUAUGGGCUUUGCUCAUUGUUGAAGGCCGUACGGUGACCUAUAGUUGUUAAUGUCUGUGUCAUUUUUGUCUUUUGUGGAUAGUUGUCUCAUUGGUAAUCAUACCACAUCUUCUUUUUUAUAUUUUAUAAACCGUGAUCUAAAUGUGUUGUUUGACUUUAAAUAAAGUUUUCUCAUCGAAAGGGGAACUUAUCAAGAUAUUACUUAUUUCCCUCAUCAUAUCCUUUAUUAUUGUUUUGUAAACUGUAGAAAAUAUUUUAUAUAAUAUAGUUCCAUUCAUCUUCGCUCCUAUCCGCAACAGUGUUAUCAGAAAUGAUGGCUUAAUCUGUCAAGGGUGGAGAUGAGGGGAAAUGAUCGUUACCCUAGGCUAGCGAAGAUGAGUUCCAUUAUCUUUCACAAAAUAUGUAUGGCGACUUAAGUCAUUACUAGAUACUAGCCUUUUUAAAGUUUAAGAUAUUUUGGUUUUAUAACUUAAUGAGGACACAUUUGCGUCUGAUAACGAGCGACCAAACAGACCUUUUUUUGUUUUUAAAAUAGUUAAAUUCUUUUGGUAUUUCUUCGUAAAAGGUAUAAAAGGUAUAAAUACUGCAUUUUAGAGCUAUUAUUAUGUUCCAUACUGAUCAAAAUCAAAAUGCCUUGCUAGCAAAAUUUGGUUAGAUGUUUGCUUAAUAAAUGCAAC